rnacentral:lncRNA from 1 species
AGUGAUGAUGGUAUGGCACGGCUCGUAGACAGGGGUGCACUAAUAGAAGGUCCUGCCUCAGACUCCGAUACAAAGUGAACAUUAGGACUCGACCUGGGCUCAGGUGGUGAUGAGGGACCCUCCCCCUCAGCACGCUCCUCCUCCUCCUCCUCCUCAACUGUAGCACCUCGAUCCUUGGUCCAAUGACCAUCCACUUUAGUGAAACCCAUACGUCGAAGGGAGUGGUCGUUGUAAGUGUCAGU